UACGUAGGCAGCAAGCGUUGUUCGGAGUUACUGGGCGUAAAGAGCUCGUAGGCGGUUUGGUGCGUCGGGUGUGAAAUCUCCACGCUCAACGUGGAGGGGCCACCCGAUACUGCCAUGACUAGAGUCCGGUAGGGGAGUGUGGAAUUCCCGGUGUAGCGGUGAAAUGCGCAGAUAUCGGGAAGAACACCCGUGGCGAAGGCGGCUCUCUGGGACGGUACUGACGCUGAGACGCGAAAGCGUGGGGAGCGAACAGG
rnacentral:rRNA from 1 species